UCCGACCUGGCUCAACAUGCUGCGGAGGGACUGAUCAAGGCAUGAGGGUGCUCCAGUGCAGGGCUAGCCAGCAGGCAACCCUUGCACUGAAGCACCCUUAUGCCCCAGCCAGCUCUAUCAGCAUCUACACGUGUCUUGCUGCAUAUGAAAAAACUCUGCAGCAGGAUAGUGCUUGUAUUUAUAAAUGCUAACCUGUGGUGGAAUUUAUUAGUUUCCUGCUGCCUAAUAGGGGCACAUGUGUAGAUGCCAAGAUGUUUACUGCAGAACUAAUUAGGUAACUGCAGUAAACAUCUAGCGUAGAUGCAACUACAGAAGGAUUUGAAAGUGUGUGGCAUUAGCAUGGCAACUAAUAUUUGUCAGUCUGCACUUGGAUUAUUGACCAUGUUGGAGAACAGCAUCUAACAGCAGCACAUCCCGUGUUCUACUUCUACUCUGCAACAUAGCAGACUUAGAAUAGAUGGGAGUAACAACUCAGUAUUGUCAAGAGGGAAGGAAGAAGAGGAAGUCCACCAGGGAUUUCCUACAUAUACUGGUGAGCACACACGCUCCUUUUCUUUCUCACCCCUCCCAGAGUGGGUCUGGACAUGCUGUCCCAAGGGCUGGAAGCUCUUUCGUACCAACUGCUACUACUUGUCCCAUGAUACUGCCAGGCCCUGGGAUGCCAGUGAGAAGAACUGCAUGGGGAUGGGCUCCCACCUAGUGGUGGUUGACACAGAAGCUGAGCAGAAUUUUCUGCUCAACUGGGUGAAAGGAAGAGUUUCAGAUCAGAAAGAAAUAAGUAACUACUGCCUUGGUCUGAAUUCUCAAGAAGUGGAAGGCCAGUGGCGCUGGGUAGAUGGGACACUGUACAAUAAGAGUGCAGCGUUCUGGAUGCCUGAGGAACCUAAUUUACUUAAUUCGGAGAAGUGUGCCGUCAUGCAAAUGGGAGGGAACAGAGCCUCAUCAGAAAAGAAAACCUGGAAUAACGUUCGUUGUUCCUUAUGGUGUCAUGGAAUCUGUGAAGCUGCAGCAAUGAAAAUUUGAUCGGAGAAGCCUCAUUUUGGAUGUGAAGGCAGAGAGUCGCUUACUUGGGGCAGCUCCCAGGGAGAUAUGGAGGGGGGAGGGUUUGAAUGAACUUUGGUGCCUGGGCUAUAGCCAUGCACAGGAGCAGGGAAUGAUUUUACUAUGUGCAGAGGCUUAAACUAACUAGGAAAAUUAUUUGGGGAAAAAAGGAAGCCGCUGAACAUGUUGAAAGUGGAUGGAAAUCCAUUUCAGUCAACUUCCACCUGUGAUGUCUCGAAGGUGAAUGGAGACUCACCUGAGCAGUGUAGAGGGAUACUGCUAUGUAAUACAUUAUUACAGAUGACACUUCUGAGGGUCGUGACUGCCUUUGCUCUUAUGGGAGCAUCAAGCUCAUGUGGCAGACUUACCGAUAGCAGCCCGGUGCAUCCGGGCUCAAAGAAUACUUGUCGUGAUUGGUGGGACCCUUCUAUCAAUCAAGCACUUGCUGGGGAGGGCCUUGUCCUGCCCCUACCCAGGUCGUGGUGAAGAACCUGGACCUGGUUGAAGCCUGCACCUCGCUUCAACCUGAUUGGUCCAUUUGUAAUCUGGGGAUGGAGACUCUGGAGGGAAUAAAAGAGCAGCGUGCCUGGCACAUGGGCUACAGUGGCAAGGGAUGAAGAGAGAGGGCGAAGGAAGAGCUGGUGUGAGCUGGCCAGCAAGGCGGAGCUGAGGCCUAAAGAGCCCAAAGACUCCUUCUCCGGAUGGGAGCAGCGAAUAGCUGUGUUCCCCAGCCCUGCCGCUGAGGAGCAUGGCAAACAGUACACAGCUUGGUGUACAGAGUAGGACACUGGGAGCCGCAUGGGGCAGCUCGGGUCUGCAACCCAUGGCGUGAGGCCAGGCUCUUGGUGUGUGGGCCGGUGCAUGGAGCCAGACUCCAGGACUUGCACGUGGCAGUUUGGGACUGCAGCCUCUGGGGUGUGGCCAGAUAGACGGUGUGCAUAUGGUUCAUGGCGUGGUCCAGGAGCGGACCAGGAUCCUGGAAACUGCACAGGGCAGCUUGGAUGCAUAACCCCGGCAAGCGGCCAGCCAGGCUUUUUGGUGCCUGGGCUUUGCAUGGAGAGUGAAAGACCCUGGGAGUUGAUCAAGGCGGCUUGGGUCCUCAGCCCCAGCAUGAGGCUGGGACCUUGGUGCGGGAGGCACUGCAUGGCGGGUCCCAGAGGGACCAGGCCCCAGAUCUGCACAAGGUGGUCUGGGCCCCCAACCCUGAGCAGAAGGCAAAGCCCCCAGGAGCAUGCGAUAGUGCUUGGGAUUACUAGCAGGCAAGCAGCCCAGAAGGAGCCAGAGGCUCAGGAGGCUCCUGCAAGUGAGGAUCAGCUUGGCCAAAGGGCCAAGGACCACCAACCCAGGACCCUAGAGUUGUGAGUUACCCAGGAAAGGCGUUUCCCAUAGGGGAGGAGGGAGUUACCCUGGCCUAGUGAGGCUGUUUAUUGGAGGGGAAGCCUAGGCAGGGGAAGGCUCCCCAGUUCUGGAGUUUCCUUUGGAGGCAUCCUUUGGGUUGCAAUAGGCCUUACAAACGCUGGGGGAUUCCCCUUUUCCACUGGUUGCUGGAGAACAGCCAGUGCCCCAGGACCAACCUGGGCUUGUGGGUUUUAAAGAGUUCAGUUUAAUUUAAUGCUGGCAUGCCUUAUAUUUUGUGAGUCAGCACCUCAUAUUUUAUAUAUUUACAUUUUAUAGUUGUGAGUUGGUAUUUUAAUAGAGUUGAAUACUGCCUGAUGGUUAUCCUUUGUUCUGGUUUACUUACCUGUAUCCUAAGUGGAGGAGGGUAAAGGAGUGUACAUAUAUUGCAUAUAGUUCUAUGUUUCAUGUAAUGUAUUUGUAUUUAUAUAUAUAUUUAUAUUUUUUCUCAUGGCUAUUGUAUUAAUAAAUUUGUAUAUAUUUAAGUUUCA